rnacentral:rRNA from 1 species
AUGUCAAAACCAAUUACUUUCGGCCAUCGGGACUAUUCCAGAAGUAUUCGAAACGCAGGAUGGACUGCUCUGAUAUUGGAUCCCAUAAUCGACGGACUACAAUUUACAAAAGUCCUGAUGGACGGCGGCAGUGAUUUAAACCUGCUAUAUCCAGACACAAUCCGCAAGUUGGGUAUAGACCUUACUAAAAUUCGACAUAGUCGCAUUUCCUUCAAAGGAGUGACGCCAGGCCCUUACGCCAAAUGCACGGGCUCCUUACUACUAGAAGUUGUGUUUGGGUCACCCGACAACUUCCGACGCGAAAAGCUAAUCUUUCAUGUUGCCCCAUUCAAAAGUAGCCAUCAAGCACUAUUGGGACGUGAAGCUUUUGUCCGCUUUAAUGCAAUACCACACUACGCGUCUCUUACACUUAAAAUGCCCGGUCCACGCGGCAUCAUCUCAUUAAAAGGUCGUUUAAGACCCCGGACACGGCUAGACGAGUCUGGCAUAAAUAAGCCAGGGGCUCCCUAA